rnacentral:rRNA from 1 species
UACGAAGGGGGCUAGCGUUGCUCGGAAUCACUGGGCGUAAAGCGCACGUAGGCGGAUCUUUAAGUCAGGGGUGAAAUCCUGGAGCUCAACUCCAGAACUGCCUUUGAUACUGGGGAUCUCGAGUCCGGAAGAGGCGAGUGGAAUUCCCGGUGUAGCGGUGAAAUGCGCAGAUAUCGGGAGGAACACCAAUGGCGAAGGCAGCUCGCUGGGACGGUACUGACGCUGAGACGCGAAAGCGUGGGGAGCAAACAGG